GCUGUCGAGCAGCGGCUUGUCGCAGCGCUCCAGCUCGGUGCCGGGCACGCGGGUGCAGCGCCCGUCGGCAGCG
rnacentral:tRNA from 1 species